rnacentral:misc_RNA from 1 species
CAGAGUUGCAAAACUCCCAACCCUUUGUGAACGAACUUGCCAGUUGCCUCGGCGGGAAGCCCUCGGGCGGACCGCCGGCGGACUACAAACUCUUGUUUUUUAGUAUCUCUGAUUACUUAUUCAAUAAGUUA